CCUGUCCCAGCCCUGUGCGGGCGUCGCUCCUGGAACCUAGAUCCCGUUCUCAACGCAACAGAAGCAGCAGAAGUUCCACCAACUCCGUAGCCCACAGGCUCAGGGCGCAGGCGCACGGCCAGGCGCUGGAUCUUCCUUUGAAAUCUUGCUGGAAGCCUCCAUGACUCUCUAACUGCAGCAUCCUGAAGUCCUGCAGUACCAUGUGAAUGAAGCCAAGGUCUGCUGCCAGCUCAAGCUAACUGGAUCCCUCACACCAUGGCUGCAGAGGCCUUGGAGUUUCUGGGCAUCUGGUCAUGAUAAGACAACUUCCUAGGACUCUCAUGCAAGCUGAGAGGUCCCAUGGUAUCUAAAACAAGUUAUUAUUAUUAUAUCCUGACCUUGUGAUGGUAAACUGCCCCUGAGUUCAAUAUCCAGUACUAAAAAAAAUAAAAAGCAAGUUAUAUACAUCCAAUA